rnacentral:rRNA from 1 species
UUAAAUUGAAGAGUUUGAUCAUGGCUCAGAUUGAACGCUGGCGGCAGGCCUAACACAUGCAAGUCGAACGGUAACAGGAAGAAGCUUGCUUCUUUGCUGACGA